CCGGUUUCCCGACGCGACAUAACGACUCAGUUUUGGAAUAAGUAUCAAGAAUUUAUAACAGUUGUUUUUUUAUUCAAAAAACUUCGCAAUAAUAAUGUAAAGGAUAUAAAAGCUGCUGACAAACUGAUUCUAAUUCAGUUGUGGACAAUAUUUUUGCAAGAUGGCGCGUUUACUGACCGUAGUUUUGGUUUUGGCUGUGGUUUCUUGUGUUUUGGCUGCUCCAGGUAAAAGGAGCAGAGGCGUCGCCCACGCAUCAGACGGCAGUAUCGGAGUAGGUGCUGUAGACGGUGGUACCUUCGGUGCCGGCAGCUUCAGCAUCGGCCAUGGAGGCGGCGGCAGAGGUCGAGGUAGCGGCGGUCACGGAGGCAAUCAUGGUACCAACUCCUACGGGGGCGCGGGAGGAGAUAGGGGCAAUACUUACUAUGAUAAGUAGUACCGCCUAGUUGAUCUACUGCUAUCGAACUGUUUUUUGUAUGUAAUGUCGGGAUAAAGAAAAUGUGAAGGAAGAAGACAAAAUUAGUCGAUCUUUAAAUGAUGAAGGUAAAUGUCGAAUUUCAAUGUGAAUAAAAUUAGCUCUAAGCAAACAAAACUAUGUUAAAUAAGUAGGUAAUAAUUAUAAUAAAUUAUUGUAUUCAAAAAUCUCAAA